GGAAUAUUGGACAAUGGGCGCAAGCCUGAUCCAGCCAUGCCGCGUGUGUGAAGAAGGCCUUAGGGUUGUAAAGCUCUUUCAGCUGGGAAGAUAAUGACGGUACCAGCAGAAGAAGCCCCGGCUAAAUCCGUGCCAGCAGCCGCGGUAAUACGGAGGGGGCUAGCGUUGUUCGGAAUUACUGGGCGUAAAGCGCGCGUAGGCGGACUGGAAAGUCAGAGGUGAAAUCCCAGGGCUCAACCUUGGAACUGCCUUUGAAACUAUCAGUCUGGAGUUCGAGAGAGGUGAGUGGAAUUCCGAGUGUAGAGGUGAAAUUCGUAGAUAUUCGGAGGAACACCAGUGGCGAAGGCGGCUCACUGGCUCGAUACUGACGCUGAGGUGCGAAAGCGUGGGGAGCAAAC
rnacentral:rRNA from 1 species